ACACGACUACAUUAGAUACCCGUGUAGUCCCAGCCCUAAACGAUGCGCGUUAGGUGUAUCGGUGACCACGAGUCACCGAGGUGCCCGAAGGGAAACCGUGAAACGUGCCGCCUGGGAAGUACGGUCCCAAAGGCUGGAACUUAAAGGAAUUGGCGGGGGAGCACCACAACGGGUGGAGCCUGCGGUUUAAUUGGACUCAACGCCGGGAAGCUCACCGGAUAAGACAGCGGAAUGAUUGCCGGGCUGAAGACCCUGCAUGACCAGCUG
rnacentral:rRNA from 1 species